UACGUAGGGUGCAGGCGUUAAUCGGAAUUACUGGGCGUAAAGCGUGCGCAGGCGGUUUGCUAAGAGAGAUGUGAAGUCCCCGGGCUUAACCUGGGAACUGCGUUUCUAACUGGCAGGCUAGAGUGUGGCAGAGGGGGGUGGAAUUCCACGUGUAGCAGUGAAAUGCGUAGAGAUGUGGAGGAACACCGAUGGCGAAGGCAGCCCCCUGGGCUAACACUGACGCUCAUGCACGAAAGCGUGGUGAGCAAACAGG
rnacentral:rRNA from 1 species